CAGGUGAUACAUGGUGUGUGAUAUGGUCAGGUGAUACAUGGUGUGUGAUAUGGGUCAGGUGAUGCAAGAUAGGUGAUAUGGUCAGGUGAUACAUGGUGUGUGAUAUAGGUCAGGUGAUGCAAGAUAGGUGAUAUGGUCAGGUGAUACAUGGUGUGUGAGAUUUGUCAGGUGAUGUAAGAUAGGUGAUAUGGUCAGGUGAUACAUGGUGUGUGAUAUGGGUCAGGUGAUGCAAGAUAGGUGAUAUGGUCAGGUGAUACAUGGUGUGUGAGAUUUGUCAGGUGAUGUAAGAUAGGUGAUAUGGUCAGGUGAUACAUGGUGUGUGAUAUGGGUCAGGUGAUGCAAGAUAGGUGAUAUGGUCAGGUGAUACAUGGUGUGUGAGAUUUGUCAGGUGAUGUAAGAUAGGUGAUAUGGUCAGGUGAUACAUGGUGUGUGAGAUGGGUCAGGUGAUGCAAGAUAGGUGAUAUGGUCAGGUGAUACAUGGUGUAAGGUAUGGGUCAUGUGAUACAUGGUGUGUGAUAUGGGUCAGGUAAUGCAAGAUGUAAGAUAUGGGCCAGAUUAUGUGGGGAAAAUGAACUGGAUGAAAAAUGGUGGGACAUACUGUGUAUAUAUUUACAAAAAAAGUACCAUAACAUUGUAAUUGAAUUCAUAUUUAUGUAAUCUACAAACAUACACAUUUACAUCAUUAUAUUGAUCAAGAAACAAAAUUAAAUGUGUGAGCAACAACACUGACACAUGAGAAGACAGUAAUGUGAGCAACUGAAUGUACUGAGAGAGGGAGUAUGGCAGCAACAUAAACGUUGGCCCCACCAUAGCUGACACCCGAACUGAAAGCUAAUGGAGGCAGGUAAGAGAGAAACAUAUGUAGGU